CCUACGGGUGGCAGCAGUAGGGAAUAUUGCUCAAUGGGGGAAACCCUGAAGCAGCAAAGCCGCGUGGAGGCUGAAGGUUUUCGGAUUGUAAACUCGUUUUUUUAGAGAAGUUAAUGACGGUAUCUAACGAAUAAGCACCGGCUAAGUCCGUCGCAGCAGCCGGGGUAAAACGGAGGGUGCCUGCGUUACUCGGAAUCACUGUGCGUAAAGGGGGCGUAGGCGGGAUGGCAAGUCAGAUGUGAAAUCCUAUGGUGUAAACAUAGACCUGCAUUUGAAACUGUUAUUCUAGAGUAGGGGAGAGGUAGGUGGAAUUCGUGGUGUAGGGGUAAAAUCCGUAGAGAUCAAGAGGAAUACUGAUUGCGAAGGCGACCUGCUAGAACAUAACUGACGCUGAUGCGCGAAAGCGUGGGGAGCAAACAGGAUUAGAUACCCCAGUAGUC
rnacentral:rRNA from 1 species